UCACCGAUAAUGGCAAUAUUGUCGUCCAGGACGUUUGUGUUACUGCUAGUCAAUCGCGCCAUCGGAGAAGAGCCGCGUCGGCGACGAGCACCUACUCCACCCAGCAUCCUCUCACAGGAUCUCGCAAAUUGCACACUGCGAUCAAACGGCUAAUUAGUCACUAAAGAAAAAAAUCGCCGUUGGAAUGUGCUUUAACUCGAAGCGAGAUGCGGUGCGGUUCAAAGUCCGAACAAAACUGUCGGCUUUGGGAAAUACGGAUGAUGGCCCAGCAAGUCAAAAAGCCAAUCUGAUAGGAACACCUCCCGCAAAUGCGAUGGCGCCGAUAGCACUGGUGACGUGAUUGAUAAAAGACAACCUUAAAAACUAGCAGCUGGCGGAGGCAAUUAGCAGGCGGCAAGCUACCGGGCUACAGGUCAAUAUUUCCAUUAAAACCACUGACAUAUGUUAUGGAACCACUUGUAUUAUGAACAUUUGGAUAUUUCUUUAUAAGAUACCCAACAAAAUUUGAUAAUUUCCUGUCUUCGCCAUUCACAAUUAAAUAAAUAUAAUGUAUAAAUCAAUAUUAUUUUUAAUAUAGAAGUAAACAUUUUUUCUGGCGGCUAUGCUUAAUAAAACGUAAGGAAAAAAUUGUAUUUUUGUAU